rnacentral:rRNA from 1 species
CCUCGCCCUACAGAUCGGGAUAACUCAGGGAAACCUGGGCUAAUACCGGAUAAUCCUUCGAAUCACAUGUUUUGAAGUUGAAAGGCGCUUCGGCGUCACUGUAGGAUGGGCCCGCGGUGCAUUAGCUAGUUGGUGGGGUAACGGCCUACCAAGGCAACGAUGCAUAGCCGACCUGAGAGGGUGAUCGGCCACAUUGGGACUGAGACACGGCCCAAACUCCUACGGGAGGCAGCAGUAGGGAAUCUUCCACAAUGGACGAAAGUCUGAUGGAGCAACGCCGCGUGAGUGAUGAAGGUUUUCGGAUCGUAAAACUCUGUUGUAAGGGAAGAACAAGUACGUUAGGAAAUGAACGUACCUUGACGGUACCUUAUUAGAAAGCCACGGCUAACUACGUGCCAGCAGCCGCGGUAAUACGUAGGUGGCAAGCGUUGUCCGGAUUUAUUGGGCGUAAAGCGCGCGCAGGUGGUUUCUUAAGUCUGAUGUGAAAGCCCACGGCUCAACCGUGGAGGGUCAUUGGAAACUGGGGAACUUGAGUGCAGAAGAGGAUAGUGGAAUUCCAAGUGUAGCGGUGAAAUGCGUAGAGAUUUGGAGGAACACCAGUGGCGAAGGCGACUGUCUGGUCUGUAACUGACACUGAGGCGCGAAAGCGUGGGGAGCAAACAGGAUUAUAUACCCUGGUAGUCCACGCCGUAAACGAUGAGUGCUAAGUGUUAGGGGGUUUCCGCCCCUUAGUGCUGCAGCUAACGCAUUAAGCACUCCGCCUGGGGAGUACGACCGCAAGGUUGAAACUCAAAGGAAUUGACAGGGGCCCGCACAAGCGGGUGGAGCAUGUGGUUUAAUUCGAAGCAACGCG